UACGGGGGGGGGCAAGCGCUGUUCGGAAUUACUGGGCGUAAAGGGCUCGUAGGUGGCCAACUAAGUCAGACGUGAAAUCCCUCGGCUUAACCGGGGAACUGCGUCUGAUACUGGACGGCUUGAGUUUGGGAGAGGGACGCGGAAUUCCAGGUGUAGCGGUGAAAUGCGUAGAUAUCUGGAGGAACACCGGUGGCGAAGGCGGCGUCCUGGACCAACACUGACACUGAGGAGCGAAGGCCAGGGGAGCAAACGGG
rnacentral:rRNA from 1 species